CACUUUGCUUUGGCAGCCUUGGAAACUAACACAGAGAAUACCGCGGCACGGCGAGGACCAGUGGGACUUCUCCAAAGGGUAUGGGAUUCCUGUGCCUGUGGUACACAGCUCCGGAGGGGACACGACUGCUGUAUUAGUGAUGGAUACAUUGGUGAUGGACGCUAUGGAAGAAGACCCCUAGUGGAACAGACUAAAUGGGAAGAGAGGGCUUGGACCCGAGGUUGCUCCAGGACUUUAAGCCCACAGUCGAGGAAGUCUGUGUCCAGCUUGGGAAUGACCCCGUCUGGCUUGCUGCUUCGAUGGCUCAAAUCCAUUAAUCAUCAGACUUCCUUGGGCUUUGAACUGGGCGUGUCCUCGGAACACUACAGAUGUGACAGGUGCGCUCCUGGAGCGAGCUGGAAUCCUCAUUUCGAACACGAAAACAAGGCUGAGUGAGCCAGCGUCAUCACAAGUUCUGUGUGCAAGGGUGUUUUGCUUGUGACUGGCUCAAACCUGAGAAGGACACUCACCGCUGUCUCCCGGCCAGGGAGCCACGCGCCCUUUCCCGGGUGGGCUCCCUCCACCCGGCUGGCCCAGCAGAGGGCACUGUCUCUCUGUCCGGCUGCAUACGUUUAUCUGUAUAGGACUAGGCUGCAUCACACCGCAUUUGUAUAUUAAACAUUCCCUUAACAAUUUACCUUUUUUCCUCCCCAAAGAAUGAGAGACUGACACGAUCCAAUGCGUUUCAAUGCAAGCAGGCAUUGUUGUCUGUUUACCCGCCCACAUCAACACACGUGUGCAUGCGAAGAAAAACAGGUUUUUUAAAAAAAAAAAUUUUUUUUUUUUUUUGGAAGCAACAUUCUUUUUCAUGCCUCUAGCUUUUAAAGGCGGCGAUGACUCCGUUUGUCCCCUCUCCAAGGAGCGCUGCGGUCCUCAGACGCGGCUGUGACAGCUCCAAUGCCAGAGUAAAGGAUCCUGACUCGAGCUGUUUUCCGCCGAGGAGUCCGGAGCGGGAGCUGCGGC
rnacentral:lncRNA from 1 species